UACAGAGGUGGCAAGCGUUGUUCGGAAUUACUGGGCGUAAAGGGCGCGUAGGCGGCCAUCUAAGUCAGACGUGAAAUCCCCCGGCUUAACCGGGGAACUGCGUCUGAUACUGGAUGGCUUGAGUUUGGGAGAGGGACGCGGAAUUCCAGGUGUAGCGGUGAAAUGCGUAGAUAUCUGGAGGAACACCGGUGGCGAAGGCGGCGUCCUGGACCAACACUGACACUGAGGAGCGAAAGCCAGGGGAGCAAACGGAG
rnacentral:rRNA from 1 species